ensembl:lncRNA
UGUAAAGUCAGACCUGUCAUUGGCAGGGCUGACCGAGCAGCAAUGUGCAAGUCCAUGGCAGGUGGGGACAGAAGUGGUGCAACCAGUCUGCUCAGAGCCAGCGAGGCCAGCAAAACGAAGUCCUAGUUGAGAACUCUAUUCCAGGCCUGCUGGACUUGAGACAGGUAGGGUCCCUUCCUCAAAAGAGGUCAGCUCGGAUGGAGAGCAACUCCACUGAGCCAGUCCACCCCAGUGGAGGAAGUCCCCAACAUAAGACUGUAACUGUAGACCCAGGCGAGGAGGGGUUCUCUCUCCUUUGGGAACCUAAGCCCCGAGAAGCUCCAGAUGGAAAUGAGGAGGAGACUGGAAGAGGCAGCUGGGUAGAGGGGGCAUCUCGCUGGGCACAGCUCUCAGGAGCAGCUGGAAAAGCCAUGCAGAAGCAGGCAGGCUCGCAGGGAAGCAGGCGGCCAUCUCCGGGCAGCUCCGACUCCCUCGCCACCCUCUCCCUGCCCCAUUUUGGAGUCGCUCUGAGUGAGGUGGUGCUGAGUUUGCAGACUCACAACCACUGUCCAGCUCCUUGUUCCUCGGAAUGUGGCCCGUGGAGCAGGAGCAGGAGAAUGAGCAAGACCGAGACUUUCCUUACCUUUUCGGAGUCCACUUCAGGCCUCCCGGUCAGGGUCUGAAUUCUAACAAGAUCCCUCGAUGGCCUCCCACACGACAUCUGAGAAAUGCUGACCUGGAAGUAGGUGGUCUUCCUCCCCCACGGUGACCCGGGGGCCUGGCCACAGUGCCCGUGGGGGCUGUUGUCCAGCUCCUUCCUGUCCAGAAGGGCCACUCAAGCACUCCCAGGCUCCGGCCCCACAGUGCUUAUCACGGGCUCAUUCUCAUGCUCCAGCCUGGGAGUUGGGAGUUGCAGGCUUUUUUUUAUACUUUGAUAUAAUGAGAUAAAUAUAUGCUUUUGGAUUCUUUUACUCUCUCUUCACUAGACGGUUCCAGAAAUAAAGAGUCAUCCAUAAGCCUUAAGGGAGUUGAGAUGACAACUUUUGGAACAUGAGAUUUUGGUCCAAGUGGGAUUUUUGCUGGUGUUACUAAUUAAGAUUCUCUUCAAAACUAGGCCAGCCCCAUGGUAUCCAGUUGGCAGUCUGUUUAGAAUCCUUCUGUAAACAUGCAGUGGCUUGUACAAAUAGGGAGGCUUUACUUUCCCAUCAUAAAGAGGGCCUGAAAUAAAUCCCAGACAACUCUAGGAGUUUGUCUUUGCCGUAAAAAUAGUGGAAUUCAUGGAGAGCUGCCUUGUUGCGCUCAGACAGGAUACAGGGUGGCCAGCUAAUUGGCCCUGGGAAGCAGCUGGGGGUGGGUUUUGCUCUUUUCAGUCUGCAGGAGGGAAGUCGGCCUGCACUUGCUUUCCACGGUGUUGAAAGUUUUACAUUUAGUGGAUGCUACUAUUCAUACAGACUCAGCAAGAUGGCAGGGCUUCUAGUUAGUGACCCCAACAACCCCGGGGCUUUCAGGGCUGGUGGCUGGCAUCACUGUGCCACUUUUUGAGACAGAAACUGAUGGUCAGCUCCUGAGUUCUGUGUUGUUGAUGGAGAGAAAGAAGAGAGGUUCACAUGUUUCUCCUUUCUGUGCAACAGAGGAGAGUGACAUGGGUGACCAUCCACCCUAAAAAUCCAAGUAGCUGGAUGGAGCAGGGGCUGGGGGAGCUGGAGGGGAGCAUUCUAUUGUACAAACAAGUCUGUUUGUUGAGUGCAUGAUCAACUGCUUCUCCGCUGGUACAAACUGGCUGCCUCCCGGACUCCUCACACAUUGGUCUUCUCUGAGGAAGCAAACCCCUACCUUAGUCAUAGUCCCCUCUGUGCGCUUAGAGGCUACAGCGUUGCCGGAUAUGUAGUAGAUUUCUGAGAACUAUUUGUGGACUGUGGGCAUGCAUUGGACCAUGUCCCAUUCGGAGGUCACUGUUGAGACUGUGUCUACUAUGUAUCACUUCACAUUUUAUAUCUCUGCCCAUUUAAUACAUCUACAAACUCCCUGUACUACUUUCCUCUGCUUAUUUGGUGGGAUCUUCCAAUACCUGAGCUGAUCUAAGCACAGUUGCUUGUGCUAAAAGCAGUUGCUUGUCUAUCAAAUCAGAACAUAAGUGGGGCUGAGAGCCAGUUGAAAGUAGCUUACAUACAUCCUACACAGACCAGCUAUGAGGAUACUCAUUUGGAAAUCUGCUAAGAGCUAGUGUGAGUAUAAGCCAUCUCACAAAAUGGCAACCAAUUUAACCUCACUGUUCAGCAUUCCUCAGGAUAAUCCGGUGUGUUCAAGCAUUAGAAUGACCAGGACAAAGUAGCCAGAUAGGAAUGAAGUCCUUUACAUUCUGCCAAUCUCCCUGUCUGAAUCUGAGGCAUGGCUACAGCUGAUUGCAGAAAUUCGGAUGAAGGUGGAGAGAGAUAUCUUGCUCAGGCAAGUGGGAACAGGUGCAUACCUCUCUUUCCAGUGCUUGUGAGGUCUGGAGAAAAGGGAUGACCCAGUGCUAAGGCGGUCUUCAUGGGCUGUUCUUCACAACCCCAUCUUUGGAGAGAAAGCAGGAGAUCCCACCCACAGGGAAAGAAGAGCUACACCGUUUCCUUCCUGUUAAGGGAUGGUGGCAGUGUGUCUUUGUAGGGCAAUGACUUUGCUCAAUUUAGAGGUGCUUUAAUGGGAGGAAGGAUUUCCUUCCAACCCUUGGGACACAGAAAACCCCUCCACAGUUUUCUGUUAGGUCUUUCCGACCAACAAGACAGGUGGGCUGGUCCAGCUGAGGGGAGGGCUCCUGGGAGGGAGAAUGCUCUGGGCUCUAUCUGUGGGUCAGGAAGGGAAAGAACCAACAGCAUUCCUAGCUGAGUGAUCCUGAGCAAGAGCUGCAGCCUCUGGAGCCUCAGGAGGACAGGUUAUCAUCCCUCAGGUGGUUGUUCUGACUCCCUUGAUAUGUUCCAAAGUGCAGCAUGUUGGAACAACUUACUAGACCAUUUCGUGCAGCUUUGGGCCUACAGCAAUGGCAACAGGUGCCAUUUCCUGGCCACUUGCUAUUAAUCUGAUGAGAGUUGUUUGAAUCAACCACAUAGAUGAGGGGUCCCCCAACCCCACUGUAUGUCUGUGGCUUGUCAGGAGCUGUGUCACCAAGCAGGAGGUGAGCAGUGGGUGGGGUGAGAAUGGAAACCUUGCUCUGUACUUGCAGCCACUCCCCAUAGCUUGUAGGACUGCCUCAGCUCCACUUCUUGUCAGAGCAGCAGUGGCGUUAGAUUCUCACAGGAACAUGAAGCCCAUGGUGAACUGUCCCUGUGAGAGCUCUAGGUUGUGGGCUUCUCAUGAGAAUCUAAUUUCUGUUGAUCUGAAGUGGAGCUGAGGUGGUGAUGCUAGUGGUGGGGAGUAGAAUUAGUAUGUAUCACAAACAUAUGCUAAUAAAGAAGCCACACCCUCUGCGGUGGAAAAAUGGUCUCCCACAAAACCAGUCCCUGAUGCAAAUAAAGUUGGGGAUUGCUGAUACAGAGUCACUAUCUUUCUGUGCUAAUCAGGGCAACAUAUGAAUAGGGGAGAGACAAACAGCAAAGAUCUCACCCAAGCCACCCAGCUUCUUUGGAAACCUUCACUUGUGCUAUGACGAUACAAAUUACUGCAGGGCAGUGCCGUGGUUCAGCACCAACCUUUUAUUGCUAGGGAUGCUAAGAUAGUGACAGUGGCUACAUUUGAAUGAUUUGCCCUGUAGGUAUGUGUAUUUGGAAAAAUCUCCUAGAUAAUUAUGCUAUGCUUGUGGGCUGAGAAUAAUUACCCAGAAAGCUCCACUGCUAGACUAAUUUAUACAAAAUUGUUGAGGAAUUUACCUUCACUACAAGGUUCUUUUUAAAGAAACUUUGAAAUAAUCUCAAAAUUACAGGCGAUUUUGCAAAUAUCCUACUUCUCUUUUUGUACAACCGUUUGAGACCAAGUUGCCAACCUCAGGGCUGUGAAUAUAGUAAUACCUCAGUUCACAAGUGUGUUUGUUCAUGCACAGUUCAGUUGCAUAUAGAAAUGUUUAGCACAAUUUUUCUUCUGUUUGAGAACUCUGCAUUGGGGGAUGAACAGGCCAUCUUCUCCCCACGAACAUGAAUUCAGCCAUCAUUCCUGCUCUGGUACAGGACCAUGUCUUCCUCUAGUUGAGAUUUUGGUCAAAGGCAGACCUGUGCACAUACAGUACUGUACAGUAUUAUUCAAAAAAGCAUGGUGCCAGGGAAAGUGCAGAGCAAGCGUGGUGGUAAAAAAAAAAAAGUGCAGAGCGGUAAUGAAGAUGUCAAGAAUGUGCACAGCAGUAAUGAAGGUAACAAGAGAAUGCAGAGCAAGAAUGGUAAGGAGAGGGUUUUGAAGAAAAUAACCAUUGAAUUGAAGACAGCAAUUGUAGAAAAGCAUGAGCAUGGUAUUCACGUGAUUGAUCUGGCCUUGGAGUACAAGAUGGCCAAGUGGACACUCUUGAAUAUUUUGAAGAAUAGAGAUGCCAUCAAAGGAGCUGAUGUGGCAAAAACAGUAACAAUGUUAACCAAGCAGAGGACACAAGUGCUGGAAGAAGUGAACAAAUCUUUUGUUAGUGUGGUUGAAUGAGAAACAGCUGGCAGGUGAUAGCAUUAGUGAAGCUAUGAUCAGUGAUAGCUAUGUUAUUACACAUGUGUAUAUAUGAACUCACAAAUAUAGAUAUGCACACAUGUUUGGCCCUUUACCUAUUUCCAUAUCUACAGUUAUAUUUUAAUAUCAAUUUAUCUGUCUGUCUUGAAAAUCUCACGGGAUCACAGCAACACUGCCAGCUCCAGUCCAAUACCAUGGAGUUCAUUCAAGUCUCCUCUCUUUGCUGAUUUGCGACUGUCUUCUAAUAUCUCACUGUACUUGGCAUACUUGCUCAUAAUCUUCCCUUUGGAGGUAUGCAGUCCUGUUAAAGCUGUCCCACAUGGAUAACCCUUACCCAGGCUGCAAACCCCUCUGUGAAGACACCUCUUUGACACCCCUUGAAGGGACCCUUCUUUACCACUCUGGCCCGGUGACUAAACAUCUGGGAACGGAAAGGCGGGAAAGGGAAGGGCCUCACUAAAUUUUAUGAUUUGGAGAACAAAUCUUUCCUUAGCUAGAAGGAUUGUCUCAGUUCAUUUGAAUGAGUCCCAACCCGAGUUGUUAUCAAUCCUAUGCCUAGGGUGAGACAGAACCCACCUCCACCGAGAAUGCUCUGGCUGUGGUCCUGGGGGAAUAUCCGUCUGUGCCUUCUCUGAGCUGAGCUCUGGGGCCAGGGGACCCUUCCCCAACCACAGUGGUUAUCAGUUGCAUUGGUUCAUUGCUUGUGUUUCUCUUUCUUUUGCUUCUGUCUCCCAAAUCCAACAACUAACCAACCAACCAACAAAAUGUUCACAACCUUCAAUGCCUCCUGCGGACGCAUUGGGAAAGGAUGAUCACAUGAAGAUUUUGGUGGGUUUUAGAUUUCAGCUUCUUUCCUAAGGGUCACCUAAAAGUUGACUCCGUGGUCAUUAUUUACAAUCUGUUUAUCCCUUUGAAGCAGGUGAUUUAAGCAGCCCCACAUUGGUGCAGGAACACUAUCAGGACAGGAAGAGCCUCUCACAGAAGUCACUGUUCGAGGGUCCCUUUUUUCUUCACUUGCCCACUAAUUUCUUGUUUCUGGGCAACAUCACCCAUCCAAGUGGAAACAGGCCUCAUGCCUAGAAGUGUGGUCACGGCUUCUCAUGUUCAGAAGUGUGAAAUCAAAGUAGAUGUAUGGUAAAAGCUUCCUGAAAUAAUAGAAACUUUGGCCUGUCAUUUUUGCAUAAUUUCUCUCAAAAGCAUUAUCAGUGUUUGAGUAAGUGUUGAUGUAGGCAUUGUCUUUUAGAGUGGGAGGGAUGAUAUUUACAAAAUCCUCUCCGUUGUUGACAUUUGCUUCCUGCAUUUUCUUCCCUUUUAAACAAACCUUAAUGGAACAAAUGACACAACAAAAUACUCUGCAACUUGAGCACCACCUCCACACGCCUCCAGAGAGCAUCUCGACAGGGCAGGAUGCUGCCUGCAGCAGGCAUCUCCAGGGCUGACUCACGGCUGAAGCCCAGGUCCCCGAACGCUUUGCCUGUCCCCUGGAUGCCACCAGGCAGAGUCCUCAUGAUUGCUCCUGACCCCUGCAACUUCUCUCAAAUGAGAUUGGUUUUUGAAUGGUGCCUGGAGGGAAGAAUUUCCUACCACUAGAUUUACAUUAUUUUCCUGCUGUGUUUUAGAUAUCAUUUCUAAAAUUCUACUCACACUAUGAGAGGAAAUAGUUUCAACAAAAUAAAGGGGUUGAAAAUCUAUUUCUUCUGUGUACCUGUAAUUCCCACUCUGCCCCACUGUCAAUGAAUCAAAGACACCCCAAUAGACAUUAGCAGCGAUGACCUUCUCUGGACCCAUCAAAAAGGAUUUUUAAAAAAAGCCAUGGCAUCCUAGAUCUUUAAAUAGUAAGAAAAACAGAUUUUGAAUGUACUCACCAUGAAGAAAUGGUUAAGUUUGAGAUGAUGGAUAUGCAAAUUACCCCAGGUUAACCGGUACCCGAUAUAUGCCCAAAGCAAAGCAUCACCCUAUGCAUUAUAAAUACGUACAAAUAAUGUGUAUCAGUCAAAAAUAUUUGUUUAAAAGCUGGCUAUGGUGGAAGAGGAUGUAGUUCCUUCAAUUUGCUCCCUUCCUCUUUGUAGACAAGAUAGCUGCUCCUCAGGGUUGGGAGACCUCUUUAGAGAGCUGGGUGUGUGGUCUUACAUGGUGUCGUAUGUCUGUUGUUGCUUUUCAUGGAGAGGAAAAUGCAGAGCAGGGAUCAUGCCUGAGAAGGCAUUGAUCAUGCUGGCCCUGCCUGGGAUGGAGGGCCAAGCUUAGCAGCCUUCCUUUAAGCUGGGGAAGCUUAGGACAUUGAGAACAUCAGAGCUCUGAGUUCCUUAGGGAAGCUGGGGCCUUAAUGUCAUAAUUUUCGCAAAGCUAGACUGAUAGAAUCUGUAGAUAGCAAAGUGCUUAAAUUAAAGUCAGCUCAGUCAAGUGUGUCUGGAGAAUGCCUUGAAGAGAUGCUCAGAGAAGUGAUCAAUACGAUCUCAUCAUGAUUCUUAACAGGGCUGAUCUCAGACUUGUGUGCAGAGAAAAUGACCACCAUUACAAAAUUGGACAGCACAUGAUCGAGUACCUGUUUUUGCGCAUAAACCUUCUCCCUGUUGGUGGCUUGGGUCCCUGGGCCAUGCUGGCCUCCUGGCUAGUCCAGCAAGAAGGACUCGCCCUUGGCCGUGUGACAUACCCACAUCUGCAAACUGAUGGAUGGGAAAGUCUGAGGACACUUUCUUCUCUCUGUUGUCUACUUAUUUGGGGCCACUUCUAGGCUUUACCAUUUUUCCAACUGUGAUGGAAAAAAUGACAAAAGCUAAGCUGGUAGAAAAUCAAUUUAAUACUGUCAGUUAUGUUAUUUAAGAAUAAAUACAAGAACCCAUCUACUGUCAUUAUUUUGGGCUUUUUUUUUUGGUACUGGGGAUCAAACUCGGAAACUUGUGCUUGUGCAGCAGGCGGCAAAACCGCUGAGCUAAAUACCUGGCCCUAUUUUGGGCUUUUAAAUAGUUCUUUCCCUGGUUAGCGCUCAGUGCCCAGCAUUUCCGUCAUUAUUCAGCCACACAUAGUAUUACGAUAGUAAAGGUGUUAUGCAACUUAGUCAUCUAAAAAAAAUCUGAACAACUUGGUCAGACUUUUUUUUUUUGGUUUUUUUUGUAAUGCUGGAGAUUGAAUUCUGAGCUACAUCCUCAGCCUUAUUUAUUUAUUUAUUUUUUAAAUUUUAAGACAGAGUAUCUUAGUUACUUUUCAUAUCGCUGAGACAAAAUACCCAACACCCUUAAGGGAGAAAAGGUUUACUUAGCAAACAGUUUAUAGAGGUUUCAGUCCAUAACUAGCUGGCUCCAAGGGAGGGUGGCACAGCAGACAGGCAUCACAGAGGAGAAACAGUCCAUGGCAGGCAGGCAGGAAGGCAGCAAAGCAACAAGGGAGGACCACAGUUCUUUUUAUCCCUUAUAUCUUUUCCAGGCUGCUUAGGAUGGGUAGCACUCAUACCUUUAAUGCUAGUGCCCUUGAGCCUAGCAUUGCACCAUGAAUCAAUCCCAGCAUCACACACCCUAGAUCCAGCCACCUCUGAAAAGCCCCACCUAUGAUGACAUGAGGCUUUGGAGGACAGCUAGACACAAGCUCUGACAUGGCGUCUCACUAAGUUGCUCAGACUAGCCUGGAACUUUCAAUCCUCCCGUCUCAGCUUCCUGGGUAACUGGGACUACUGGCAGUAAUAUUAUUUUAUAGGUUAGUUGAUCGCAUUGACUGACCAAAUCAGAGCCCCAAAGAAUGCUACAAAAGACGAAGCACACUUUGUUCUGGCUGGGGGAAGGAAGGGAGAGCCUGUAACACAGCUGGGUCACAGGAAAUCAACAUUGCAAGGUAGAUGCUCUGAAUUACUGUCAGCUCCAGAACAACCAGCUUACUUGCCACUGACCUGAGUACUCAAAUUUGAACCCUCUCUCACAGUCAUGGACAAGACUGGGCUCUGUGGAGUUCGUCUGCCUCUUGGUGUCCUGCCCCAGCCUGCUGUCCGAGUGCUGGGCUCCCAGUGGGCACUGCAGGUCAGUGACAGGGCGCAUCAUGGGAGUGCCUAGGAAGAUGCGUGAGCCUGGGGCUUCUCAUCUCCCGCUGGAAAAAAAAGCUACUACGCAGUGAUCAAAGCUCUUUCGGAAGGGGAAAUUGUCACCACAGUCGUCACGUGCCUGCCCUGCCCGAUGCAGAUGGCAGAAUUUAAUAAUCUCGAGCGACUCUGUGUAGGCCCAGCUCCCAGCAGAAGCGUCUGUUGUGGAUCGAGGAGAAGGAGUUUGGUAACAUUUUGCCCUUGGGGGUUGGUGUGAAGGGAAAUAUCACGGAAGUCUUUUUUAGCUUUGACUUCUGUGAUUCUAUGGAAACAAGGCAGCAGGAGUGGGAAUCCAGUGAGAGAGAAGAGCUAAGGCAGCUCGACUGGCUUUGAGGCUGAAGAAGGGAGGGAGAGAGGCAGAGGAACAAUAGGCUUUAUUGGGGACUCUCCUAGGCCACGCACUUUCAUCUCUGGGAUCUGAAGCAGGAACUUUUCAUUGGGCUGUUGGUUUGGGUCCGAGCAGGAGAGUUAUUGGUAGAGUUUGCAGAAGGGCCCUGGGCGGGAGAGAGAAAGGACGUCUGUGGUCCUAUUGUCUGGGCACCUCUGUUAAUAACACUUGAGCGUUUCCCCGCCCCACUUAGGACAAUGGGGCCAGAAGACAAACUUUAAUUCGAAUGGUGUUUUCUGUGUGCUGUAAUAAUGUGGUGGGAAACCUCAAAGGCUCAGGAAUUCCUUGCUGGGAUUGUGUGCGUGCGAAUCCCGAGCGUUAAGGCGCUGGCCCGUCUCCAUCUGCGACGGACGCCGAACGGCUGAGUCGAGCCGCGCUGAGCUCGCUCGUGGCAGAUGGCCAGACGGCUCUCGGAGUUCACAGCAUGUAUAUGGAUAUUUACAUAUACACAAACAUGCCCGCGGCAGCUGUCUGCCUGCCUCUCCCCGGCGAAAUGGGAGACGAGGUCCGGAGGUCAGCGGCCCCGGGCCACUGCUACUGUUCUUCCUGCGGUCCUGGGACAGUGACCAUCAAGGUGGAGACAGCGCAAGGCCAGCGUCUCCGCGGCCCCUGUUUACAAUCCUACUCUGAGCGUCUGAGAAGCCAUCUUUCACUUUUAGUUAUUUAUUCUCAUUCGAGGGACUGGGGAUUGAACACGGAGCCUUGUGUAUGUUAGACAAAUGCUACACCCUGACCCAGCCCAGCGUGCGUCACUCUUGGUUGGCAAUAAAUCGCACAGUAGGGGAGACAGACUGGAGAUGAGAGAGUCUAGUGCGAAAGGACGCUUAUUGAUCUCAGUGAAUUUGAGACUCCCAAGAACAUGGCCAGAUGCUGGGCCCAGCACCACCCUGGUUUGAUCUGAGGUUGGCUUUGUCUCCCUUACAUUCAUCUCCUUUCUUCCACACCGGCGGAGUUUGAUUUUAAAUUAUACGAUUAAAAAAUAAUACGUGACAAGGAGCUGUGGAGGAGAGGGACCUUUACCUAGGAUUGAAUAAAAAUGAGACAAAUUGACAAGAAUUUUGCCUAUAAAUGUAAUAUAAUCCACAUAGAUUUUGUGGUAGGAAAGAGUUUAAAGAUGGUUAGCAACCACUUGCUUGUCGAUGUCCUCCUCAACAAGCAUUUCAAAGCUGAUCAAGGAUGCUUACCUGGCAGAGUUCCUUUGGGGACUUCGCCGUGUGGAGGUGAUCACCCGGAUGCAGGGUCAGGGUACAGACACUGGCAUCUGGAAAUCUCUACUCAAUGAAUGCUGAACACGCUACCAUUUUUCCAAGCACACACAUAAUGUGCUGUAGUCUUUAGAUUUGUCUUUUCCCCUUGAGACUCUGAGUCACCCUCCACAUCUGGGAAUCCUGAGUAUUUAGUGAGUCCUAAGAACUCAGCUCUACUUCCAAAGCACAUGCAGAGGAAAAGCUGGAGAGUCCUAUUCAUUGCUCAGCACAACUGCUUCUGUGCCCAGGAGGAUGUCAUUGUCACCUGGAGGGGUGGCCAUGGCUGACUGGGCGUGACUCUUCUCUGCAGAGAAAGAGGGGCACCCAGCCUGCCUCUCCCGACUAUGCCCAAGUGAUAGAUCCUGAAUUACUCAGGCCCUAAGAUUACUGUCUGGCUCACAGGCACAUUCCCAGGGAUUUGUUCCAAGUGCUGCCUGUGCUAGCCAGGUGCAUCUAGGGUGUAAGGGUUGGGUGACGGCCUUUAGCAUCAUGCCCCUACUUUGCUGGGAGCAGUCCCUCCACAUGAACCUCAGGCCUCAACUGAUCACUGCCCACCAGUGCACAUUCUCUCUCCUUGCAAGGAAAUUUCCUGAUGGGGUCUAGACUCUCAACCAAGAGCCUCCUAGCCCAUGUGAACUGGUUCCCUGAUUUUCUGCAUUGGGAAGGCAGGGCCUAGGCUUCCCCUGGAAAUUGGCAUGUGCCCCCUUAGAUCUCCUCCCACCAAAGGGUACCUGGGAAGCCUUCGUGGGCCACAAAAGUAUCUCUUCUGGAUUUUUCUCAGCCUUUUGGGCACCCACCAGGUUUACAAUUGCUUGUGAAGCAGCAGCUCAAGCCAUUCCAUUCAUAGGAGUGAAAACACAGUUUCAUAUUUAUCAUUGGCUAUGCCGAGGGGAAGAGAGGUGGCCGAAUAUCCCUUUAAACACAUUUCCUUUCUCAGUUCCCUGUCCUGGGCAUAAAGAACAAAGUAGAACCACGCUAAUGAGAAACGGCAUUUGGAGAGGACUGUCUUUGAGCUUGUCCACUGCGUCCCGAAAUUCUACGCAGGCAGACGGCUCACCCUUAGCUGAGCAGGCUCCUUUCUCCUGGUGCACACCCGCCAGCCCUCACCAUCUGUCACCGUCCUGUCCUGCCAUCUCCAGGGUCGGCUUAAAUCACUGCUGUCUUGGGGGAGCCAUACGAAGCCUUUUGUCUCCCAUGAACUGGUCACGGCGCCUCUCUUUGCCCCUCUUAUGCUCGCCACUUAUUUGUGAGAUAAAUGUCAACUCUGUUCUUGUCUAGACACACUGGAAUAUACUUUCCUUGAAGAGAGAGCAUUGUUUGGCUCACCAAGUCCUCCCACCUGGCCUGAAUCAUACACCGUGCCUCUCACAGCUGGUGUCCAACAAAUGUUUGACUCAGUGAGCCGAGGGCAGAGCAGGGAGCAGUCAUAGGCACCAGAAAGGGAUCAUUGCUGUCUUCUGAGGGGACAUAGAGCAGCCUGGAGUCUCUCGAGCUGGUACCACAUCUGGCUUACUGGAGCCAACAUCAUGGAGGGACCCAGGAGCUGGAAGUCCUCUUCUUGACAAUAAUACCCUAUAUGGACAUGGGAAAGCAAGUCACAGUUGCAAUAACUACAACUGUAAUACCUACCAUGUCAGGGAUUUUAUUUCCAUAGCCUGAUUUUAUCCACCAAAAAAGGCUGAUCAGUAAGUAUUUCUAUUUCUGACUUUCAGAUGAAAUAGCUUAGAAUUUAUAGGUUGUAACUGCAGACCUGGGAUUCAAUAGCAUGUGUGUCUCUACUACAUCAAACUGCAUCCCACUGGUCUCUCCAGCCCCUGUUAUUAAGCAAUCUGUUUCUCUGGUGUUCUAGAAUCCCAUGAUGCCUGGAGAGGUCUGGUCAGAUUGGAGCCAGUGAAGGGCCUGGGGCUCUGAGUCAAGAUGGCUGCCCCUCCUAAGGAAGAGAGGGCUGGGGGAGUCCUUCCUUCCUCUCACCUCGAGAGUCGGCCUCAAUUGCUGUAGAGGAUGGGUUAUGCCAGCUCAAUAUCUCUCUGUAGUCUAUAUCAGUUCUUGCUAGAAUUUGUUAUAAUACAACGUUUUAUGAAAAUACCAAAAAACGGAGGUUGUUGAGGAAUAUGGAACUCCAUAGACGGCACUACAGUCUGCCGUCAGCUAACUUCAGCGUAACCAUGUGCGGUAAGCAUUGACACGGUUGAUGCAUUCAUUUCUUGCUGUCAUUGUAACAACUUUUCGCAAGCUCAGUGGCUUUAAAGAACACCAAUUUAUUCUCUUACAGUUCUGGAAGUCAGAUACAGAUUCUGGAGGUUAUAGAUAUAGAUCCUUACAGUUCUGGAGGUCAGAUAGGGAUUCUGGAGGUUAUAGAUAUAGAUCCUUACAGUUCUGGAGGUCAGAUAGGGAUUCUGGAGGUUAUAGAUAUAGAUCCUUACAGUUCUGGAGGUCAGAUAGGGAUUCUGGAGGUUAUAGAUAUAGAUCCUUACAGUUCUGGAGGUCAGAUAGGGAUUCUGGAGGUUAUAGAUAUAGAUCCUUACAGUUCUGGAGGUCAGAUAGGGAUUCUGGAGGUUAUAGAUAUAGAUUCUUACAGUUUUGGAGGUCAGAUAGGGAUUCUGGAAGCAAUAGUCAAGAUGUUGGCAGGUCCAGUUCCUUCCGGAGACUCCCGGAAAGAACCUGUUUCUUGUCUUUCCUUGGCUGGUGUCCACAUCAUUCUAAUCUCUGCUUCCAUCCUCACAGGCUUUCUCUCUCUCCUUGACCUUGCCCCUCUCAUAGGUGGUGCAUUUAGGAUCCAUUGAGAUAACCCAGGAGCAUCAGCCUAAUCUCUAAACCAUUCACAGGCAGCUAUUCAGCCUGCCAACCUACCAUUGUUAGUGUCUAAUACUUACAUCUAAUUCCUUCUCACUGAGCAAUAAGAAAAUACAACCUGCCACAUAUAGCUAAGAGAAGAGUGUCUGCCCUGGUCAGAUAUAGUCUCUUCUAGGUUUCUGUCCCAUCUUAGUUCUUGUGUCAUUUCCUCAUCUCCGAUGAUGGGAGGUUCCCCUCUCCUCUCCCUUGACAUAGCUCUUUCCCUGUAGUUCAAUAUUGAGGUGUUACUUUUUGGAUAUCACGCACAUGAUUAGAGAGCAUUUAAUAACCAUGAUAUUUAUCCUGGUAUUGCUAAUGAGGCUUCACCUAGCUUCAAUAAAAUAGAAACUUUUAGCUUCCUGCUUUAUUUAACACUGCAGAAUGACUGCAGGGUACUGCAUCUCAUCUUUUUACUUGAUUCUGGGGGCUCUGGGGGUGAUGUCCUUGAGCUCCCUAAACUGCUGCCAUUGAAAGGAGAUAAAAGCCUAACACUAGCACAUUAUUAAACUCCUAGAACAUUAUUAAACCUCUCCUUUCUGGCUGAUCAUGUUUCUACUCAAUCUAACCAAAAUUUCCAUCAACUGAUGAAUGAGUCAAGUCAACUUUCCAUUGCUGGGACAAAAUACCUGACACCUACAGCUAAAAGGACAGGUUUAUUUUGGCUUAUGGUUUCAGAGGUUUCAGUCCCUGGUGAGCUGGCUUCCCACCAGAAACAUCAUGGCUGAAGGGUGUGGCAGAAAAGAGCUGCUCCAUUCAUGGCACCCAGGGAGCAGAAAGCAGGUUGGAAAAUGUGCCAGAGAGGAAGUGGACAGGGACCAGAUAUAGUCCUCAAGGCCCUGCAUCCAGGACCCACCCAGACUUACCUGGAAGUGUUUAUUAUUAAACCAAUCAAGUUGGCCAUCAAGAUUAACCAUCACAUGGUACAUGUACACAGCCAGAUCCACACAAAAGAAUGAAAUCUCAUUCUUUGGGAUAAUAUGGAUGGAACUGGAGAGCAUUAUGUUAAAUGAAAUAAGUCAAACACAGAAAGGUAAAUACUACACAAUCUCACUCAAUAUAGAAUCUACAAAGUAUUUCAUAGAAAUUGAGAAUAAAAUGGUGGUCCCUAGAGGAAGGGAGG